AGCAUGCCUGCCAUGUAGCAUGCUUCACUCUAUAACGUGAGCUGUUCAGUAUGUAUUAACAGUCCUUUCUACCUCGCCGUUUUUGAUAGAUAUAACAUUAGCCAUCGAGAACAAAAGUUUUGCUACUUUUCUCAAAACAUUGAUUCCAUGAAUUUAGCAGGCGCUAUCAACAGAUCAGCUGGAAAAAGUGAUGGGCUUCUUUCUGCACACGCCACAGUCAGUGUGAACCAGAGUGACUUGACACAAUGCUGGUCAAACAAGAUGUAGUUACAAACAAAACAGAGUUAAAUAGUUCCAAUCUGCCGUGAAGCGAUCAUCCAUGUAUACGGACUGGAUAUACUUUCCUGCAACCCGCCUCAACCCAAUGUGGUUUGGAUCUGCUGUUUUUAUACUUUAGAACCAGAACCCCCAUCAGCGGCUAGCCAGCUAACUAGCUACUAGCUAGUAGUCAGUUAGCAACUGCUAGCGGUCUUCACCAUUAACUCGGACACCAGCCAGCGUCAGCUCGGUCAAUACCUGCCAGUCUGCACAGUGCGAUAUUAACCCAGAGCAUAUCAGACUGCUUUUUCUCUACCACAUCACUGGAUUCCUACCGCAAGCUCUGGACCAUUACACCGGAUCAUCACAGCUAGCUGGCUGCAACCUGAGUGGCUACUGCUGGCUAACGCCUCUGUCCCGAAGAAAGCACCAGUUAGCCUCGAGCUAGGCCCAUCUCCCGGCUAGCCGAAGACGUCUACCAGCUAAUUCUUGGGCUACAAUACCUCUUUUGACAAUUGGCCUAGACCCUUUAUUGCCGACAUGGAGCCCCGCCAAUCCACCACGACUGGUCUGCCGACGUAACUGUCCGAGGAG
rnacentral:lncRNA from 1 species